AUUGAACGCUGGCGGCAUGCCUUACACAUGCAAGUCGAACGGCAGCACGGGUGCUUGCACCUGGUGGCGAGUGGCGAACGGGUGAGUAAUAUAUCGGAACGUACCUUAUUGUGGGGGAUAACGCAGCGAAAGCUGUGCUAAUACCGCAUAAUCCCUUAGGGGGAAGCGGGGGACCGUAAGGCCUCGCGCAAUUAGAGCGGCCGAUACCUGAUUAGCUAGUUGGUGAGGUAAAGGCUCACCAAGGCGACGAUCAGUAGCUGGUCUGAGAGGACGAUCAGCCACACUGGGACUGAGACACGGCCCAGACUCCUACGGGAGGCAGCAGUGGGGAAUUGUGGACAAUGGGGGCAACCCUGAUCCAGCAAUGCCGCGUGAGUGAAGAAGGCCUUCGGGUUGUAAAGCUCUUUUGUCAGGGAAGAAACAGCAGCUCUAACACAGUAUGCGAAUGACGGUACCUGAAGAAUAAGCACCGGCUAACUACGUGCCAGCAGCCGCCGUAA
rnacentral:rRNA from 1 species